rnacentral:rRNA from 1 species
UUUUUUUGUCUUACUCUAAAGGUUACAGAUCCCAUCUGAUCAUGGAAGGUAAACAGGCCUGGCUAGUACUUGGAUGGGAGACUACCAGGGAAACAUAGGUUCUGAGGAUU